rnacentral:rRNA from 1 species
GGCAUCAGUGUUACCACUUAGUAGAUUGACCUCAUCAGAUGUCAGAAGUCAAGCAAGGCUGGGUCUGGUAAAUACUAGAAUGUGAGACCUCCAAGGAAAACCAGCUGCUAGUGAUA